CAAAAAAGUGUUAAUACAAGGCUGGGGUAUACAGUUUUAGUUAUAAUGUCACCGAAUUUUAGAGGUAAAAGAGACCUCUAAAUUAAUAAAACUGUCCCAUUUUAUGAGUAGAGAAAUUGAGGCCUAGAGAAGGCAAGUGAUUUCCUCAGAGUUUUAACCAAGGGUUAGUGACAAAAUGCAUACAAGGACCUGAAUCCCAGUGAGUCAGACAUCCUGCUCUGCUGGUGACAUCAUUCUGAUAAAAAUAGAAUUGUGGAAUCUUCUAAAAAAUUUAGCACUUAUUUUCUAAUGAACUAAAACAAGUAGAGAAUGAUAGUGGAAAUAACUUUAAGAACUGUUGUGGCACCAACUGCUCGGGGGAAAAGAGAAUACUUUGACUGGAUAAGCUUGAAGCUAUGCUUCAAUUUAGUACAACUAUUUUAAAGCCAGAAAAGCACCAUUGUUGUCUUCUACCAAGUGUUUUAGAGAAGACAAAUGGACAUGGUAGACUAUAAAAUUAACACAAGAACAGAAACUCAAAUACCACAUGUUCUCACUUAUAAGUGGGAAGCAAACGAUGAGAACUUAUGAACGCAAAGAAGGAAACAGCAGACACUGGGGUCUAGCUGAUGGGGGAGGGUGGAAGGAGGCAGAAGAGCAGAAAAGAUAAUUAUUGGGCACUGGUCUUAAUACCUGGGUGACGAAAUAAUAUGUACAGUAAACCCCCAUGACACGUGUUUCUUUAACAAACCUUCACAUAUACCCCCAAACCUAAAAUAAAAGUAUUUUUAAGAGAAAUUAAACUUUAACCAACACAUAACAUUUACUUUCUCUUCACAUAGUCUCUCACUCUCUCAUUUUUGAGACUUUUUUAAAAUUAAGGAACAUACACAAUAUUGAAAGUUGAUAAACCCCCAUGACACGUGUUUCUUUAACAAACCUUCACAUAUACCCCCAAACCUAAAAUAAAAGUAUUUUUAAGAGAAAUUAAACUUUAACCAACACGUAACAUUUACUUUCUCUUCACAUAGUCUCUCUCUCAUUUUUGAGACUUUUUCUAAAAUUAAGGAACAUACACAAUAUUGAAAGUUGAUAAACCCCCAUGGCACGUGUUUCUUUAACAAACCUUCACAUAUACCCCCAAACCUAAAAUAAAAGUAUUUUUAAGAGAAAUUAAACUUUAACCAACACGUAACAUUCACUUUCUCUUCACACAGUCUCUCACUCUCUCAUUUUUGAGACUUUUUUAAAAUUAAGGAGCAUACACAAUAUUGAAAGUUUAGCAGUAUUAUUUAAGAAUUAGUUAUGUCUUCAAAUGGCUAGUAUGUUUCCA
rnacentral:lncRNA from 10 species